rnacentral:rRNA from 1 species
UACGGGGGGGGCAAGCGUUGUUCGGAAUUACUGGGCGUAAAGGGCUCGUAGGCGGCCAACUAAGUCGGACGUGAAAUCCCUCAGCUUAACUGGGGAACUGCGUCCGAUACUGGAUGGCUUGGAUUUGGGAGAGGGAUGCGGAAUUCCAGGUGUAGCGGUGAAAUGCGUAGAUAUCUGGAGGAACACCGGUGGCGAAGGCGGCAUCCUGGACCAACAUUGACGCUGAGGCUCGAAAGCGUGGGGAGCAAACAGG